GACGAACGCUGGCGGCGUGCCUAAUACACGCAAGUCGAGCGGACCGCUUCGGUGGUCAGCGGCGGACGGGUGAGUAACACGUGGGCAACCUGCCUGUAAGACGGGGAUAACACCGGGAAACCGGUGCUAAUACCGGAUAAUCCUUUUCUUCACAUGAAGGAAAGCUGAAAGACGGUUUCGGCUGUCACUUACAGAUGGGCCCGCGGCGCAUUAGCUAGUUGGUGAGGUAACGGCUCACCAAGGCGACGAUGCGUAGCCGACCUGAGAGGGUGAUCGGCCACACUGGGACUGAGACACGGCCCAGACUCCUACGGGAGGCAGCAGUAGGGAAUCUUCCGCAAUGGACGAAAGUCUGACGGAGCAACGCCGCGUGAGCGAUGAAGGCUUUCGGGUCGUAAAGCUCUGUUGUCAGGGAAGAACAAGUACCGGAGUAACUGCCGGUACCUUGACGGUACCUGACCAGAAAGCCACGGCUAACUACGUGCCAGCCGCCGCCGUAAUAC
rnacentral:rRNA from 1 species